rnacentral:rRNA from 1 species
CCUACGGGUGGCAGCAGUGAGGAAUAUUGGUCAAUGGACGAGAGUCUGAACCAGCCAAGUAGCGUGAAGGAUGACUGCCCUAUGGGUUGUAAACUUCUUUUAUAUGGGAAUAAAAUGUUACACGUGUGGGAUUUUGUAUGUACCAUAUGAAUAAGGAUCGGCUAACUCCGUGCCAGCAGCCGCGGUAAUACGGAGGAUCCGAGCGUUAUCCGGAUUUAUUGGGUUUAAAGGGAGCGUAGGUGGAUUGUUAAGUCAGUUGUGAAAGUUUGCGGCUCAACCGUAAAAUUGCAGUUGAAACUGGCAGUCUUGAGUACAGUAGAGGUGGGCGGAAUUCGUGGUGUAGCGGUGAAAUGCUUAGAUAUCACGAAGAACUCCGAUUGCGAAGGCAGUUCACUGGACUGCAACUGACACUGAGGCUCGAAAGUGUGGGUAUCAAACAGGAUUAGAUACCCUUGUAGUC